GUUGCUGUGGCUUGGCUGGUUAAAGCGCCUGUCUUGUAAACAGGGGGUCCUGGGUUCACAUCCCAGCAGUGCCU
rnacentral:tRNA from 1 species